GAUGAACGCUGGCGGCGUGCCUAAUACAUGCAAGUCGAGCGAAUGGAUUAAGAGCUUGCUCUUAUGAAGUUAGCGGCGGACGGGUGAGUAACACGUGGGUAACCUGCCCAUAAGACUGGGAUAACUCCGGGAAACCGGGGCUAAUACCGGAUAACAUUUUGAACCGCAUGGUUCGAAAUUGAAAGGCGGCUUUGGCUGUCGCUUAUGGAUGGACCCGCGUCGCAGUAGCUAGUUGGUGAGGUAACGGCUCACCAAGGCAACGAUGCGUAGCCGACCUGAGAGGGUGAUCGGGCACGCGGCGACUGAGCCACGGCGCAGACUCCUGCGGGAGGCAGCAGUAGGGAAUCUUCCGCAAUGGACGGAAGUCUGACGGAGCGACGCCGCGUGAGUGAUGAAGGCUUUCGGGUCGUAAGACUCUGUUGUUAGGGAAGAACAAGUGCUAGUUGAAUAAGCUGGCACCUUGACGGUACCUAACCAGAAAGCCACGGCUAACUACGUGCCAGCCGCCGCGGUAA
rnacentral:rRNA from 1 species